GUUGGAUUAUAGAAAUCGAUUAUAUACAUUCAAAUAUAGAUAUAUUGUCUAUCAUAGUUUAAAUCUGAGGUCCAGAUAUAUAAGUUUCAAGCUUCGUGUAUGCAUUCCUUGCGACAUGUAUGAUAAACUUUUCCUCUGUGACCAUAAUUGUAUUUAUAUAAACCAAACUUGUAUUGAGAGACAUAAUAACGUAAAAGUGACAUCUUUGAGAACUAAGCGUUCAAAAACAGCAACUCUGAAAGAUAUCACAGAGGAAAAGUUUGUCUGACAUGUCGCAGGGAAUACAAACACAAAGUUUAAAACUUAUAUGUAUCAAUGAAAUUUUAGGUCCUUGUACUGGAGACUAUAGUGUAAAGUU
rnacentral:lncRNA from 1 species